rnacentral:rRNA from 1 species
GAUGAACGCUGGCGGCGUGCUUAACACAUGCAAGUCGAACGGUGAAGCAGGAGCUUGCUCUUGUGGGUCAGUGGCGAACGGGUGAGUAACACGUGAGCAACCUGCCCCUGACUCUGGGAUAAGCGCUGGAACCGGCGUCUAAUACUGGAUAUGUGAUGUGACCGCAUGGUCUGCAUCUGGAAAGAAUUUCGGUUGGGGAUGGGCUCGCGGCCUAUCAGCUUGUUGGUGAGGUAAUGGCUCGCCAAGGCGUCGACGGGUAGCCGGCCUGAGAGGGUGACCGGCCACACUGGGACUGAGACACGGCCCAGACUCCUACGGGAGGCAGCAGUGGGGAAUAUAGCACAAUGGGCGGAAGCCUGAUGCAGCAACGCCGCGUGAGGGAUGACGGCCUUCGGGUUGUAAACCUCUUUUAGCAGGGAAGAAGCGAAAGUGACGGUACCUGCAGAAAAAGCACCGGCUAACUACGUGCCAGCAGCCGCCGUAA